CGCUGACUGAUCUCCGAAGGUGAGCGUGUCGCCGUCUGACAGCUCCCACAGGACGCCCGGCUGCAGCAGGACUUCGUUCACCCAGGAUGGAAACUGUUUGAAGUCAAACCAACAGUGAGCAACAGUUCUGCGGUUCCAGAUUCUCUGUCACCUGGAGCCAGAAAUCCACAAAACUUUUUAAUAUUCCAGCAUCUGACAAAAGGAGGAAAUAACGGAACGAGCAGAGCCUGGAAAAUAAAGCCGUUUGUUGACUGGAUGUGUUUACAGCUCGGAGACUUUGAGGGAAAUGUAAAACAGGCUGUGAAAUGGAAGCAGAAAUGAAAAGCUGGAAGGCUACAAGCCAAUCAAACGGCCGUGACAGCAGGAGAAAUGUGGCGGGAAUACUAAAACACCAGGCUGACGGCGAAAAGUCGAAAUGUGGGGAAACGGACUGUGAAAUUACCAGACAAAUUAGACAAUAAGGCGCAGUUUAGAUGCAGAGUCCAUCAGUCACAGUCCAGCAGGCCCAGGGCCAGACUUUACCUCCAGAUUUCCCUUUACAAACACCUGAGACAGCAGCAGAACCACCUGAACACGGAUCCGAACAGGAGGCAUUCCUCUGCUCCGGGCAGCAAUCGGCUCCACUGAAACAUCUUAUUAUUGGUCCUACAUGUACGAAGAUGUUCGUGUCAAAUUUAUUUAUUGUUUUUUCAGAUGCAGCUUUGCAUUCAGUUUGAAUCAAACAGAAAAAUGUUUGAUUUAUUUUCUCUCUUGGAAUAAACCGACCCGUCACUCUCUGCUGCUCAAACGGCUCACAUUUAAA